rnacentral:rRNA from 1 species
UACGUAGGUGGCAAGCGUUGUCCGGAAUUAUUGGGCGUAAAGCGCGCGCAGGCGGUUCCUUAAGUCUGAUGUGAAAGCCCACGGCUCAACCGUGGAGGGUCAUUGGAAACUGGGGGACUUGAGUGCAGAAGAGGAGAGCGGAAUUCCACGUGUAGCGGUGAAAUGCGUAGAGAUGUGGAGGAACACCAGUGGCGAAGGCGGCUCUCUGGUCUGUAACUGACGCUGAGGCGCGAAAGCGUGGGGAGCAAACAGGAUUAGAUACCCUGGUAGUC